UACGUAGGGGGCGAGCAUUGUCCGGAGUUACUGGGCGUAAAGCGCACGCAGGCGGUCUGUUAAGACCGAUGUGAAAUCCCCGGGCUUAACCUGGGAACUGCAUUGGUGACUGGCAGGCUUUGAGUGUGGCAGAGGGAGGUAGAAUUCCACGUGUAGCAGUGAAAUGCGUAGAGAUGUGGAGGAAUACCGAUGGCGAAGGCAGCCUCCUGGGCCAACACUGACGCUCAUGCACGCAAGCGUGGGGAGCAAACAGG
rnacentral:rRNA from 1 species